GCUGGGGGCAGUGGCAUGUGCCUAUAGUCCCAGCUACUCUGGAGGCUGAGGCUGGAGGAUCGCUUGAGCUCAGGAGUUCUGGGCUGUAGUGCGCUAUGCUGAUCAGGUGUCCACACUAAGUUCGGCAUCAAUAUGAUGACCUUCCGGGAGCGGGGGACCACCAGGCUGCCUAAGGAGGGGUGAACGGGCCCAGGUCAGAAAUAGAACAGGUUAAAACUCCCAUGCUGAUCAGUAGUGGGAUUGCACCAAUGAAUAGCCACUGCACUCCAGCCUGGGCAACAUAGCAAGACCCCAUCUCU
rnacentral:SRP_RNA from 1 species